rnacentral:rRNA from 1 species
AUUGAACGCUGGCGGCAGGCUUAACACAUGCAAGUCGAGCGGAGAGAGGUAGCUUGCUACCGAUCUUAGCGGCGGACGGGUGAGUAAUGCUUAGGAAUCUGCCUAUUAGUGGGGGACAACAUUUCGAAAGGAAUGCUAAUACCGCAUACGUCCUACGGGAGAAAGCAGGGGAUCUUCGGACCUUGCGCUAAUAGAUGAGCCUAAGUCGGAUUAGCUAGUUGGUGGGGUAAAGGCCUACCAAGGCGACGAUCUGUAGCGGGUCUGAGAGGAUGGUCCGCCACACUGGGACUGAGACACGGCCCAGACUCCGACGGAGGGCAGCAGUGGGGAAUAUUGGACAAUGGGCGCAAGCCUGAUCCAGCCAUGCCGCGUGUGUGAAGAAGGCCUUAUGGUUGUAAAGCACUUUAAGCGAGGAGGAGGCUACUCUAGUUAAUACCUAGAGAUAGUGGACGUUACUCGCAGAAUAAGCACCGGCUAACUCUGUGCCAGCAGCCGCCGUAAAAC